UAUUUCUCCGUACGGGGAAGGAUGAGAAGCUUCGACUAAGGUUCGAUUCGAGCGCAGCGAGAAAGCGUUGCCGCAGGCAACGACCCGAAGGGUGAGGAGCGGAGCGACGAAUAAUCCUUCCCCCACC
rnacentral:sRNA from 1 species